AAAAAUGAUUUAAAUAUUUCUUUUAAUAAUAAAUAAUCUUAACUUCAAUUAGUUAGUUUAUACAAAUUUAAAUUAUUUACAAUUAUAUACGUACCAAUGUUUUUGCGGUGUUUUUUUUAUGGAAAUUAUGAAGUAUUAUUACGUGAAUAUCAUUAUCAGCUAUCACAUAACGAAACGGGCAUAUGGCCAAGGAAUAUGAAAUAUAUUGGAAUACCCACACGAAUCUCGUAUAGUAAGUGUAUGAAAGUCUAAAUAUAACGGUACAAAACACGUUUAUUAGUGUACUUACCUAUACAUAGUAAAGGGUAAUUUUAAAACAGUAACUUUUAACUUAACUGAGUAUUAUAAUUUUCUUAAAAAUUGUGCAACUUAACUUAUAAGUUCCUCAGAUUCGUUUAAAACUUUAAGUUAGCUUCGUUAAUUUUUUAAAUAACUUUACUUGACCAAGUUGAACAAAUUGGUUGACUUGCUCAGCUUUAAUUGAUAUUACCUAUAUAUAUAUAUAUAUAUAUAUAUAUAUAUUUUAUAAAUCAAUACCUAUUAUAAUUUUAUUUAAUUAAUGCUGUGUAAAAACUAACUUCUCGUUUUAUUUUUUUCUCUUUAAAAUGACUUAAUUUUUUUAAUAUUUUUCUUUCGGCUAGUGUUAAUUAAAUACGAAUUAUUAGUAGGUAGCAUUUUAAAACCAAUUAUAUGUAUAUAUAUAAAUUAACUUAAUUAAAUACCAAUUGGGAGGGUCACAGAGGCCCGCGACUGUAUCGAUAAUUAAUAUUAUAUGGUAUGUGUUAAAUUGUCACAAUCGAAGAAAUUAUUUUGCCGUAGCAAAGUUAGGUAUACACUUAAACGUUCAUUUAAAUUUCAGUUACUCUCAGAUAUUUUUUAAGUAUUUAGUUCCGAAUCUUCAGACAAUCAAACCGAACGUGGUAAUGUUCGAUUGAUUCUCAAUGUAAUGUUAUAAAGCAAUAUUGCAUACGACUUUAUGAUUUUAUUUUGAAAUGUGAUCCUAAAAAGACACGUGUUGUUAUUAAUACAAAAACACGACCUUCGUUACGAUUAAAAACAAAACUAAAAAUGCACAUGUAUAUUUUUGAUUCAGAAUUUCCAAAAGUGCAACAUUCUGUUCUAGAAAAAAAAAUAAUAUUGUUAUUGCAUUGAUAAUAUUAUUGUUUCUCCGGGAAGAGGCCGUUUUAGAGAAGAAAAUAUACGGACAUACAUCGCGCGAUGUGUAGGCCACUGUUGUAGGCGAAAAGUUGGGAAGGUAGAGGGGAAAUUUCAGUUAUAUCUGUACGCAACGAUUAACCAUCGCUAACGAGAAACGACUCCUAGCAGAGUUCGGUCAACAAUAUAUACAUCGUAUUAUGGAAAAAUAAUUGCAUAUGGAGUUUUUCCAAUAAACGUAAAAAAAACACGGAAAAACCGUAUGAAAACGGUACAACAUUAAACAAAUAUUAUUAAAGAAAAUAUAUAAAGUCUAUUUAAUUAAUUUACUAUAAUACGGCGAAACAUAAAACAAAUUAAUUGUCGGAUACAACCCAGGCUUUUGCAAAAUUAUUUCUAUUAACCAACGUAUCGUAAUUUCUAGGCUCACCAGAUGAGUAUCGUACGUUCCACGAAAUGUUUUUCGAGUUUUGUUUUGUCAUAUUCACUAAACAACUAAACAACAGUGGACUACCCACUUUCCACCUAUUUUUUUUUUAUUCACUACUGGCACGGUCGAAACCAAAAAGAAAUAUGGGUAAAAAAAAAUAAUAAAAAUUGCCACGGGCAACGCCGAGCGGGACAGCUAGUAAUAUAGUAAAAACAUGUAUAUAUAUAAUACAUAAACAGUAAAUAUUAUCUAACCGAAAUUCAAUACUCGCUGAUGACAUAAAACAUUGUAUUUUUUAAAUGAUAUUAUGCACAGAUCUUACUGGUCGAAAGUACCUGUAAUAGCUCUGUGUACACUGAUAAAAUAUGAAAAGAGCGUACGGCUAUUGCAUCAUGUGCAAAUUAAUUAUUCACCACAGACGCGACAUACUGCAGCUUCGUUAAAAUGUAGACACUUCACGCAGCGUAGUCGUUAUGAUGGACAUUGAACGAUUUUGCUAUGUAUAUAAUAUUACGAUAUACCUUUACUUGUACAUCAUAAUAUAACACCUUUAGGUAUAAAUAUAACUCCGUUACUGGGAAAGGUGCUUGUAUAACAAUAUUGAACCGAUAAACUGAUACAAUUAUUGAAAUGGACUUUCCGACAAAAAGGGCUCUCACUCUCUGAAAAUUUAAACUGUUCGGAUAUCGCAACAAACAGAUUUGUAUUAUUCUGAUAAUUGUAAAAGCGGAUUAUGCCAUAGGCGGAGAUUCCGGGGAGGGAGGCUAGGGGUGGAAUUAAAUUCCGAAAUUUUCCAUGACCCCCUAAACACGAUUUAAAAAAUAAAUAAUUAUUCUAGGCUUCCCUGAAAAAUUAUAAAAUAUAUGCCCCGAAAUUACAUUGACCUUUUAUGCCUUAUUACGUCUUUAUGCGUGACAACGAAUGGGUAUACUGCACUAUACGGGUAUAAUACGAAAUAUUUUUUUUCUUGCUCAUCACUUAAAUACCCCCCCCCCUCCUCAAAAAACAAAAUUCAAUCAAAUCUCCGUCUAUGGGAUCAACACAGGUUUUAAUAUUAUGAACUUUAGUCGAGUAUAUUCAUCUAAUAAAAUUCGCAUUAAUUAUUUACCUAACUGUAUUAUAUAGUUUCACCAACGACGAUGCGGUGUUUUUACAUUUUAAGUUUUUUUUUUUUUUUGGAAUGGGUACUCGUACAAAUGUUACUAAAGAUCCUAAUCAACGUACGCCAUCAUUUUAACGUUAUUAUAUAUAUUGUGACCACCGACCAUACACGCUAUGUAUAAUAAUAUUAUAAUAUUAUAUCGUGAUAAUAUAAUAAUAAUAAUAAUAUAAGAUAACCCGACGCCUAUGUUUUAUAUCUAUACGGAUAGAUAUCGCGGAGAAUAUAAAAUACACUUUUUUAUUACACCAUAUAAUACACAUGAUGUAUAUAUUUUUUUUCCACGAAGAAGUUUCAGUAAAAUAGCGAAAAACCUAAUACAACACGAGCGCAAAAGGUUCUGGAACUGUUACUGUAUAAACCGUUACUUUUUUUUUAUACGUUCGUGUACUUCACUUUUUUCGUUUACAUAAUCUAAUGAUAAAGUGCGACCCGUCCGUCCAAGGCUUUAGCGAAAAAUCCAUACGUAACUGUACGCUUGUCAACCCAUUUUUAUAAUAUCUGUUUCACCUGAAGUGUAUGUAUUUUAAUGUUGACCCAGUAUGUUGUGUAGCGCAAUAAGGGAACUUUCAAUUAAUACAGUCCGCCGAAAUUUGUUUUCGAUAAAUAAAGCUGUUCCUCGCCGUUUACUGAUAGAUAAGUAUUUGUUUUUUUCUCGGAGAACACGUUUUCGGUUUGCGAAAAUGCUCCGAUUAGAAAAUACCAAAAAAAAAAAAAAAAUAAAACAAACACUGAAAAUGAAAUAAAAAAAUAAAUACUUUCGGAUAAAAUCACUUCGCCAAUAACACGAGUAUGCAGCCCCCCUCGGACACUAUUACGGCGUACAUCCGUCGUGCCACUGCACUGCCUGCUCGCAUUGAUUCAGGCGCAUACGUCACAGACAGUACAAAACAACGAAUAUAAAUAUGCAAUUGAAAUCUAAUGUAAUUAAUUAUAUAACAAUUGUAAUAAAAUUAUUAUUCACGUGUACGUUUUACAGCCGUCGCACGUUGCGCAUAAUCGUCCGCGAGUCUCCGUGUAGGAAUAACUGUAACGGCAACGCGGUGCGCGCCACGCGUUUUGAACCCGCCGAGCAUUACUAUAGUGUUCGGUAAGUAAAGUAUAAUAUUAUAACACGCGCUUACAUGCGUGUGUGUAUAUAUAGUUACGUAUAAUAUAAUAACAUUAUAGUGGGUAUUAUAAUAAUGUGUCUCGUACACACACCGCCAUCGUCACUGCGAUAAUAUAUGUAAUUACAAUACUAUACCAGUAUACGUCACACAUAUAUACGUACAGAGUCUUUGUAAAGUUUUGCGCACACGCGUAUAUUGUGUCCCGAAGAUGGCGCAAAUAACGGGUCGGUUGCAGUCCUACUGAUCGUAAGUACCAAUAUUACACCUACGCCCUACGCGCAUCCAACAUACAUACAUAUAUAUAUAUAUAAUAACGUAACACGACUAAUAACACGAUAUUUAGAUACCCGCAUCUAUAGGGUAUCCGCGUAUCUGUAAUUCAGACGUCGGUUUUCAUAUAUAUACAUAUCCUGUACAAUAAAAAAUGUCACCCAUCGGAUGGUUCACGCUUACACUACACGUAUCGUACACAUUACCGCGGAUUGUCGUCGCGCAUCGUCUAAGAAAGUUUUCGAUACGUCCAUGCGCCGUAAUAUUAUAAUACGCGUGCGUAACAGAUACACCGCAACGUAUAUUAUAACCUUCGAUCGUCGCAUUAUUAAUUAUAAAUGCUAAAAAAACCAACGUAUAAUAGGCGCGUGCAUUACACGUACCGUCGUAACACAUGAUCAUAUGUACGGUAUACAGUAAAUAAUAAACGUACACACCAUACAAGUUUUACUGUACAAUCGAUUAUAUUGUUAUUAUGGAGUGCGUUUUCGUUUCCUAUAGACCGUUUAUAGAUUAUUAAAUGUCCGUCGUACCCGGUGCUGUUUUAGAUACAUGUAUCUAAAAUACAGUAUCUAGGUACUUUUUUUUUCAUAUCUUUUAUCUGUAUCUAGAUACUUUAUACAAAUAUACGUCUGUACCCGUAUCUUAGAUACAAAAUAUUGUGUAUCUAAGAUACUUUUUAAGAUACAAUUAUUACAUUUUUGGUUCGAAAAAAUACAAAAAUAAAACGUACAAUUCUAAAAUUUAAUUUUGUUUAAAUAAAAAUAUCAACAGUUUAUUGCGAUAAGUAUUAUUUUCUGCUUUCUUUAUUAUUAUAAAUUAUUAUGUACGAGUAUUGUGUUUUAACAAGUAGAUAAUACACAUAAUUUAUUUUAUAUUUACCAAUAAUUAACCAAUGUAUUAAAAUUGUUAUGUAUUGACAAUGACUGUAUUAUAACAAUAGCAUUAUAAGAAUAAGAAUAUAUUUGAAAACUGAUGUAAAAAUAUAGAUGAAAAUUAUUGUAUUGUAAAUU